rnacentral:rRNA from 1 species
UGGGGAAUAUUGCACAAUGGGCGAAAGCCUGAUGCAGCAACGCCGCGUGAGUGAUGAAGGUCUUCGGAUUGUAAAGCUCUGUCUUUUGGGACGAUAAUGACGGUACCAAAGGAGGAAGCCACGGCUAACUACGUGCCAGCAGCCGCGGUAACACGUAGGUGGCGAGCGUUGUCCGGAUUUACUGGGCGUAAAGGGUGCGUAGGCGGAUGUUUAAGUGAGAUGUGAAAUACCCGGGCUUAACUUGGGUGCUGCAUUUCAAACUGGAUAUCUAGAGUGCAGGAGAGGAGAAUGGAAUUCCUAGUGUAGCGGUGAAAUGCGUAGAGAUUAGGAAGAACACCAGUGGCGAAGGCGAUUCUCUGGACUGUAACUGACGCUGAGGCACGAAAGCGUGGGUAGCAAACAGGAUUAGAUACCCUGGUAGUCCACGCCGUAAACGAUGAGUACUAGGGUGUAGGAGGUAUCGAC